AUCGCAGUUCCGACGGCAGCCGCCGUUUCGCGACCCACGGCGGACUUGCAUAAACACUUUCUAGUUGGAAUCUCACCCUGUGAGGUGGGCAAGGUAGUGAUAUUCCUGUUUGACGCCGACAGAAAUAAGAGAGAUUGACUCUCAGAACCAUGUGGCGGGAUUUUAAAGGAGGAUCUUAACAGUGGCUCGGACAGACCCGUGUUUUCUGCUCCUAGCAUUAACUACGUCGUUAAACCCUUCUGAAUUUAUUUCGUCUGUGAAAUGGGGAAAAGAUAGCCACCUUGCAUAACUGGUGAAGAAUUCGUAAACUGACAGCAGAAUCUAGUAAGAGGACUGGCCCGUGGUCGGCUCUUAAUGGUGUCACAGAAUAAAGAAAAAGACUGGGAGAGAGAUGGGAGCUGAUAGACCAGAGGAGACCAAAGACUGAAACUGAAGACUAAACCAUGGAAAUUGGGAACAAGCACUUACUCGCUUAGAGGGUGAAAAAAGUGAAUUUGCCUACAGGGCCAAUUUGGAAGCACCUCUCCCUGGAAGCCAGUCAAUGAAGAGCCAUUGGAGGAUUUUAAAUAAGGAACCGAAAAAUGGAGUCUGAAAAUAGAGGCGCAGAGACCGGUUCUUCCCCAAACCAUCAUGGACCAGUUGGACUCUGAGAAGAAAAGUUUCUGAUCUUUAGUUCAUUCUUCCAACUCUCUAGAAAGCAGGAAAACUGAGAAUGAAAAAUUCUAAAUUACUCAGGACUCAUGGGUUGCCAAUAGAAGAAAUACAUCUUAAACUAGCUUAAGCCUGAAAGGGAAAUGUAUUUGUUCAUGUAACUGAACCAUAACGAAGGAUGGUGGACUGAGGGACCUGAAAACACCCUCAGGACUCCCUCCCUCUCCUUUGUGCUCCUGUCUGAUGCCGUCUUCCCAGACCUGCUCACUCUCCAUAAGGUGGGGAUGUGGCCAUCAGCAACGUGUACUUCCCCGAAGCUUGUGACCUGAGUAGAUAGGCAUCUCCCAACCCACAAGGAUUGAAAAGUUCCUCUAGGAAUUAUGUGGAUUGGCCCAUUCACUAUGACAUGUUCCCCCUAAGCAGCUAAAGGAACUGGGUCUGUUACCAGAAGAGGUGGGAGAGGGGUGCUAGGCAGAUUGAACAACAGCCACUACAACAUCUGAGGAGGAGACCUCCGUGAAGGCCACCAAGUCUGCUAGCAGAUAUUUCCUCCCUCGGAUCUCUCUCCCUGUCCUCACAGUCUCAUAAGUGAGGAUUAAAUACUACAUGUGGCCUAGGAGAUCUUAGACCCUCCACACGAAGAUAUAGUAACAAUCAACAUCCUAGUGUUCUGGCAGAGAAAAAAUCAGAAAGAAUCGUUUGCCUGAUUUUUCCAUCAAUACCAAUAAUUAAUUAGAGAUGAAAUUUGUGAUGGACUCAGAGAAUUAGAGAAGAUCUAAGGGAAUCUAGAUGAUUUCCUACCCCUAACCAGAGCCUCACAAAAAAGGGUGAAGAUCUAUGGCCGUCUUGCGUUUGGUGUGAGGCUGGACAAGGAAGUUCCUAAGGUCCUUUAGACUCUGUGAGAUCAUGAGUCCGUAAAACCCUUCCAACUUGAAAUUAGUUGAUUCCUUCCUUAAAUUUUCUGGGACAUUCCCCCACUCCCUCCACUCUUAUUAGCUGAUUUUACUGACCAAUAGGCCUUGAAGUUGGGCGUUCCAUCUAGAUGUCUCACAUCAACUCACCUUUUGCAAAUUAAGCCCAUACCCUUAAAGAGGGGAAUUCUCAAGCCAUUAGAAACUAGAGAGUCAGCUGGGCAUGGUGGCUCACGCCUGUAAUCCCAGAACUUUGGGAGGCCAAGGUGGGUGGAUCACUUGAGGUCAGGAGUUCGAGUCCAGCCUGACCAACAUGGCGAAACCCCGUCUCUACUAAAAAUACAAAAAUUAGCCAGGGGUGAUGGCAUGCACCUGUAAUCCCAGCUACUCAGGAGGCUGAGGCAGGAGAAUUGCUUGAACCUGGGAGGCGGAGGUUGCAGUGAGCCAAGUUUGCACCACAGCACUCCAGCCUGGGCAACAGAGUGAGACUCAGUUUCAAAAAACAAAAGAACAAACAAACAAAAACUAGAGGGUCUCCUCUUAGUUCUUAAACCCUCUUAGUCAACAUUUGUGAGCCUCUUUUCUGUAUGUUUUGGCAUCUUUAUUCCUUUCCUUCGUGUCUUGACCAAAUUCACCAGAUCAUGACUCAGAACAAAAUCCUGAGGUUGAAUAUAGAGGUCUAGAACAUCUUCAAAUUAACUGUUUCUCCUCAUAG
rnacentral:lncRNA from 1 species